rnacentral:rRNA from 1 species
CAGUCGCCGCGGUAAGACGGAGGGUGCUAGCGUUGUUCGGAAUCACUGGGCGUAAAGGGCGCGUAGGCGGCCUGUUAAGUCGGAUGUGAAAGCCCGGGGCUCAACCCCGGAACUGCAUCCGAGACUGGCAGGCUUGAGACCGGGAGAGGAGGGUGGAAUAUCCAGUGUAGAGGUGAAAUUCGUAGAUAUUGGAUGGAACACCGGUGGCGAAAGCGGCUCUCUGGCCCGGAUCUGACGCUGAGGCGCGAAAGCGUGGGGAGCAAACAGGAUUAGAUACCCGAGUAGUCCCUGUCUCUUAUAU